AGUGAACGCUGGCGGUAGGCCUAACACAUGCAAGUCGAACGGUAGCACAGAGGAGCUUGCUCCUUGGGUGGCGAGUGGCGGACGGGUGAGGAAUACAUCGGAAUCUACUCUGUCGUGGGGGAUAACGUAGGGAGACUUACGCUAAUACCGCAUACGACCUACGGGUGAAAGCAGGGGAUUUUCGGACCUUGCGCGAUUGAAUGAGCCGAUGUCGGAUUAGCUAGUUGGCGGGGUAAAGGCCCACCAAGGCGACGAUCCGUAGCUGGUCUGAGAGGAUGAUCAGCCACACUGGAACUGAGACACGGUCCAGACUCCGACGGGAGGCAGCAGUGGGGAAUAUUGGACAAUGGGCGCAAGCCUGAUCCAGCCAUACCGCGUGGGUGAAGAAGGCCUUCGGGUUGUAAAGCCCUUUUGUUGGGAAAGAAAUCCAUCUGGUUAAUACCCGGGUGGGAUGACGGUACCCAAAGAAUAAGCACCGGCUAACUUCGUGCCAGCCGCCGCUGUAA
rnacentral:rRNA from 1 species